rnacentral:rRNA from 1 species
AUUGAACGCUGGCGGCAGGCCUAACACAUGCAAGUCGAGCGGUAGCACAGGAGAGCUUGCUCUCUGGGUGACGAGCGGCGGACGGGUGAGUAAUGUCUGGGAAACUGCCUGAUGGAGGGGGAUAACUACUGGAAACGGUAGCUAAUACCGCAUAACGUCUUCGGACCAAAGUGGGGGACCUUCGGGCCUCACGCCAUCAGAUGUGCCCAGAUGGGAUUAGCUAGUAGGUGGGGUAAUGGCUCACCUAGGCGACGAUCCCUAGCUGGUCUGAGAGGAUGACCAGCCACACUGGAACUGAGACACGGUCCAGACUCCUACGGGAGGCAGCAGUGGGGAAUAUUGCACAAUGGGCGCAAGCCUGAUGCAGCCAUGCCGCGUGUGUGAAGAAGGCCUUCGGGUUGUAAAGCACUUUCAGCGAGGAGGAAGGGUGGUGUGUUAAUAGCGCAUCACAUUGACGUUACUCGCAGAAGAAGCACCGGCUAACUCCGUGCCAGCAGCCGCGGUAAUACGGAGGGUGCAAGCGUUAAUCGGAAUUACUGGGCGUAAAGCGCACGCAGGCGGUUUGUUAAGUCAGAUGUGAAAUCCCCGCGCUUAACGUGGGAACUGCAUUUGAAACUGG